rnacentral:rRNA from 1 species
UACGGGGGGGGCAAGCGUUGUUCGGAAUUACUGGGCGUAAAGGGCUCGUAGGCGGCCAACUAAGUCAGACGUGAAAUCCCUCGGCUUAACCGGGGAACUGCGUCUGAUACUGGAUGGCUUGAGUUUGGGAGAGGGAUGCGGAAUUCCAGGUGUAGCGGUGAAAUGCGUAGAUAUCAGGAGGAACACCGGUGGCGAAGGCGGUUCUCUGGGCCGAUACUGACGCUGAGGAGCGAAAGCGUGGGGAGCGAACAGG